rnacentral:lncRNA from 10 species
UACAGGGGGUGGCCACAGGACAGAUAAAGUUAUUUUCUGAAUGUGUUGUUUGAGGAGGUACCUGUGGAAUAUCUAAGUGGUGAUGACUGAAUGAAAUGUGAACACAAAAACCUGGAGGUCAGCAGAAAGAUCUGGGUUGGAGACGCAGCUCUGAGAAUUUACUCAGGGAAACAUCUGGAGCAGAGUAUGAGGUAAAGAAAUUCCACUGCUUAUCUCAGCUGAUGAAAGGGUUAAAGAAGAAAUGAUCAACAUCAAUCAUAAAGAAAAGACAGAGUUGAUUGAAUGUCCAUGCCACUUAGGUGGAUCACUUGAAGACUAGGAGCAGAAAAAAACUGUAGAAAAUUGUCUUGAAAACUUUUUAUUUAACAGAGAACACAAGGUGUAAUGAUUCAGAAGUAAUGAGUCAUUUAGAAAUAAUAAAACUAUUACUUUGCCUGGAAAACAUAGGCAAUCUUGGGUGGAUGACUCAGUGUGGAAACUGCUUCCAACAGAACAGUUUAAAAGAAUACCAAAAGUGUACAGUAAGGCCUAUUUGUGGAAUAAAAAAGGAGACCUGGAAUAUUUUAUUUGUCAUGUCCACUUCAAAAAUAGUUGAG